GAUGAACGCUGGCGGCGUGCUUAACACAUGCAAGUCGAACGGAAAGGCUCCUGCUUGCAGGGGUACUCGAGUGGCGAACGGGUGAGUAACACGUGGGUGAUCUGCCCUGCACUUCGGGAUAAGCCUGGGAAACUGGGUCUAAUACCGGAUAGGACGAUGGUUUGGAUGCCAUUGUGGAAAGUUUUUCGGUGUGGGAUGAGCUCGCGGCCUAUCAGCUUGUUGGUGGGGUAAUGGCCUACCAAGGCGUCGACAGGUAGCCGGCCUGAGAGGGUGUACGGCCACAUUGGGACUGAGAUACGGCCCAGACUCCUACGGGAGGCAGCAGUGGGGAAUAUUGCACAAUGGGCGCAAGCCUGAUGCAGCGACGCCGCGUGGGGGAUGACGGCCUUCGGGUUGUAAACUCCUUUCGCUAGGGACGAAGCGCAAGUGACGGUACCUGGAGAAGAAGCACCGGCUAACUACGUG
rnacentral:rRNA from 1 species